GACAGAGGGUGCAAACGUUGUUCGGAAUUACUGGGCGUAAAGCGCGUGUAGGCGGCUUUGCAAGUCGGGUGUGAAAUCCCACGGCUCAACCGUGGAAGUGCAUUCGAAACUGCGAGGCUAGAGUCCUGGAGAGGAAGGUGGAAUGCUUGGUGUAGAGGUGAAAUUCGUAGAUAUCAAGCGGAACACCGGUGGCGAAGGCGGCCUUCUGGACAGUGACUGACGCUGAGACGCGAAAGCGGUGGGGAGCAAACAGGG
rnacentral:rRNA from 1 species